UACGGAGGGUGCGAGCGUUAAUCGGAAUUACUGGGCGUAAAGCGCACGCAGGUGGCUGGGUCAGUCGGUUGUGAAAUCCCCGGGCUUAACCUGGGAAUUGCGAUCGAAACUGCCCGGCUAGAGUAUGGGAGAGGGAAGUGGAAUUCCCGGUGUAGCGGUGAGAUGCAUAGAUAUCGGGAGGAACACCAGUGGCGAAGGCGGCUUCCUGGCCCAAUACUGACACUCAGGUGCGAAAGCGUGGGGAGCAAACAGG
rnacentral:rRNA from 1 species